rnacentral:rRNA from 1 species
CAAGGCUGAGGCGUGAUGACGAGGCACUACGGUGCUGAAGCAACAAAUGCCCUGCUUCCAGGAAAAGCCUCUAAGCAUCAGGUAACAUCAAAUCGUACCCCAAACCGACACAGGUGGUCAGGUAGAGAAUACCAAGGCGCUUGAGAGAACUCGGGUGAAGGAACUAGGCAAAAUGGUGCCGUAACUUCGGGAGAAGGCACGCUGAUAUGUAGGUGAAGUCCCUCGCGGAUGGAGCUGAAAUCAGUCGAAGAUACCAGCUGGCUGCAACUGUUUAUUAAAAACACAGCACUGUGCAAACACGAAAGUGGACGUAUACGGUGUGACGCCUGCCCGGUGCCGGAAGGUUAAUUGAUGGGGUUAGCGGUAACGCGAAGCUCUUGAUCGAAGCCCCGGUAAACGGCGGCCGUAACUAUAACGGUCCUAAGGUAGCGAAAUUCCUUGUCGGGUAAGUUCCGACCUGCACGAAUGGCGUAAUGAUGGCCAGGCUGUCUCCACCCGAGACUCAGUGAAAUUGAACUCGCUGUGAAGAUGCAGUGUACCCGCGGCAAGACGGAAAGACCCCGUGAACCUUUACUAUAGCUUGACACUGAACAUUGAGCCUUGAUGUGUAGGAUAGGUGGGAGGCUUUGAAGUGUGGACGCCAGUCUGCAUGGAGCCGGCCUUGAAAUACCACCCUUUAAUGUUUGAUGUUCUAACGUUGGCCCCUGACCGGGGUUGCGGACAGUGUCUGGUGGGUAGUUUGACUGGGGCGGUCUCCUCCUAAAGAGUAACGGAGGAGCACGAAGGUUGGCUAAUCCUGGUCGGACAUCAGGAGGUUAGUGCAAUGGCAUAAGCCAGCUUGACUGCGAGCGUGACGGCGCGAGCAGGUGCGAAAGCAGGUCAUAGUGAUCCGGUGGUUCUGAAUGGAAGGGCCAUCGCUCAACGGAUAAAAGGUACUCCGGGGAUAACAGGCUGAUACCGCCCAAGAGUUCAUAUCGACGGCGGUGUUUGGCACCUCGAUGUCGGCUCAUCACAUCCUGGGGCUGAAGUAGGUCCCAAGGGUAUGGCUGUUCGCCAUUUAAAGUGGUACGCGAGCUGGGUUUAGAACGUCGUGAGACAGUUCGGUCCCUAUCUGCCGUGGGCGCUGGAGAACUGAGGGGGGCUGCUCCUAGUACGAGAGGACCGGAGUGGACGCAUCACUGGUGUUCGGGUUGUCAUGCCAAUGGCACUGCCCGGUAGCUAAAUGCGGAAGAGAUAAGUGCUGAAAGCAUCUAAGCACGAAACUUGCCCCGAGAUGAGUUCUCCCUGACUCCUUGAGGGUCCUGAAGGAACGUUGAAGACGACGACGUUGAUAGGCCGGGUGUGUAAGCGCAGCGAUGCGUUGAGCUAACUGGUACUAAUGAACCGUGAGGCUUAACCUU